rnacentral:rRNA from 2 species
ACAUGCAGUCGAGCGGACAGAUGGGAGCUUGCUCCCUGAUGUUAGCGGCGGACGGGUGAGUAACACGUGGGUAACCUGCCUGUAAGACUGGGAUAACUCCGGGAAACCGGGGCUAAUACCGGAUGGUUGUUUGAACCGCAUGGUUCAGACAUAAAAGGUGGCUUCGGCUACCACUUACAGAUGGACCCGCGGCGCAUUAGCUAGUUGGUGAGGUAACGGCUCACCAAGGCGACGAUGCGUAGCCGACCUGAGAGGGUGAUCGGCCACACUGGGACUGAGACACGGCCCAGACUCCUACGGGAGGCAGCAGUAGGGAAUCUUCCGCAAUGGACGAAAGUCUGACGGAGCAACGCCGCGUGAGUGAUGAAGGUUUUCGGAUCGUAAAGCUCUGUUGUUAGGGAAGAACAAGUGCCGUUCAAAUAGGGCGGCACCUUGACGGUACCUAACCAGAAAGCCACGGCUAACUACGUGCCAGCAGCCGCGGUAAUACGUAGGUGGCAAGCGUUGUCCGGAAUUAUUGGGCGUAAAGGGCUCGCAGGCGGUUUCUUAAGUCUGAUGUGAAAGCCCCCGGCUCAACCGGGGAGGGUCAUUGGAAACUGGGGAACUUGAGUGCAGAAGAGGAGAGUGGAAUUCCACGUGUAGCGGUGAAAUGCGUAGAGAUGUGGAGGAACACCAGUGGCGAAGGCGACUCUCUGGUCUGUAACUGACGCUGAGGAGCGAAAGCGUGGGGAGCGAACAGGAUUAGAUACCCUGGUAGUCCACGCCGUAAACGAUGAGUGCUAAGUGUUAGGGGGGUUUCCCCCCCUUAGUGCUGCAGCUAACGCAUUAAGCACUCCGCCUGGGGAGUACGGUCGCAAGACUGAAACUCAAAGGAAUUGACGGGGGCCCGCACAAGCGGUGGAGCAUGUGGUUUAAUUAAGCAACGCGAAAAACCUUACCAGGUCUUGACAUCCUCUGACAAUCCUAAAAGAUAGGACGUCCCCUUCGGGGGCAGAGUGACAGGUGGUGCAUGGUUGUCCUCAUCCUGUCCUGGAAAUGUUGGGGUUAAGCCAACCAACCCCCUUGAUCUUAAUUGCCACCAUUCAGUUGGCCCUAAGGUGACUGCCGGGUGACAAACCGGAAGGAAGGUGGGGAUGACGUCAAAUCAUAUG